GUAUAUCCAGUGCUUGUACUACUUGAUGUUUGUUCUGUACUAGUAGAUGAACCUGACGGAGGCAUCGUGCAAUUUCUUGGAGGAUACACGGACUCGGGAUGGUUGCACGUGUCGAUGCUAGGAUCCCAUAUGGUUCCAGGUCCGCAGUCGAAAUGAUACACGUUGAAGCCAUUUCCAUUGUCAACGCAACGAUAGAAUUUGUCACAGCGUGUUGGAUCCGGAU